rnacentral:rRNA from 1 species
UACGAGGGGGGCGAGCGUUGUUCGGAAUUAUUGGGCGUAAAGGGUGCGUAGGCGGUUCGGUAAGUCUCAUGUGAAAUCUACAGGCUCAACUUGUAGUCUGCAUGAGAAACUGCCGGGCUUGAGUAUGGGAGAGGUGAGUGGAAUUCCUGGUGUAGCGGUGAAAUUCGUAGAUAUUCGCAAGAACACCAGUGGCGAAGGCGGCUCACUGGCCCGGUACUGACGCUGAGGUGCGAAAGCGUGGGGAGCAAACAGG